AGGUAGUGUAGACAGGGUGGAUCUUCUGGACUGGCAGGUAUUGUAGAGAGGGUGGACCUCCUGGACAAGCAUGUAGCGUAGACAAGGUGGAUCUGCUUGUAAGGCAGGUAGUGUAGAUAGCGUGGAUCUGCUGUCCAGGCAGGUAGUGUAGAGAGGGUCAAUGUGCUGGACAGGAAGGUAGUAAAGAGAGGGUGGAUCUGCUGGAAAGUCAGGUAGUGGAGAUAGCAUGGAUCUACUGUCCAGGCAGGUAGUGUAGACAGCUUGGAUCUGCUGGCCGGCACGUAGUUUAGACAGGGUGGACCUGCUGGACAAGCAGGUAGUGUAGACUAGGUGGAUCUGCUGGCCAGGGAGGUAGUGUAGGUACCGUGGAUCUACUGGCAGGCAGGUAUUGUAGACAGGGUGGACCUGCUGGAUAGGCAGGUAGUAUAGACAGGGUGUAUCUGCUCGACAGGCAGGUAGUGUAAACAGGGUGGCUGUGCUUGACAGGUAGGGAUUGUAGAUAGCGUGGAUCUGCUGGCCAGGGAGGUAGUGUAGAUAGCAUGGAUCUCCUGGCCAGGCAGGUAGUGUAGACAGGGUGGAUCUGCUGGGCAGGCAGGUAGUGUAGACAGGGUGGACCUGCUGGACAGGCAGAUAGUGUAGACAGGGUGGAUCUGCUGGCCAGGCCCGUAGUGUAGAUAGCGUGGAUGUACUGGCCAGGCAGGUAGUGUAGACAGGGUGGAUCUCCUGGGCAGGCAGGUAGUGUAGACUGGGUGCAUCUGCUGGACAGGCAGGUAUUAUAGACAGGGUGGAUCUCCUGGACAGGUAGGGAGUGGAGAUAGCGUGGAUCUACUGGCCAGGCAGGUAGUGCAGACAGGGUGCUUCUGCUGGGCAGGCAGAUAGUGUUGGUAGGGUGGAUCUGCUGGGCAGACAGGUAGUGUAGACAGGGUGGAUCUGCUAGCCAGGCAGGUAUUAUAGACAGGGCGGAUGUGCUGGGUAGGCAGGUAGUGUAGACAGGGUGGAUCUUCUGGACUGGCAGGUAUUGUAGAGAGGGUGGACCUCCUGGACAAGCAUGUAGUGUAGAUAAGGUGGAUCUGCUGGACAGGCAGGUAGUGUAGAUAGUGUGGAUCUACUGGCCAGGUAGGGAGUAUAGACAGGACGUCUCCGCUGGGCAGGCAGGUAGUGUAGACAGGGUCGACCUGCUUGACAGGCAGGUAGUAUAGACGGGGUGAAUCUGCUCGAUAGGCAGAUAGUAUAGAGUGGUUGGAUCUGCUGGACAGGAAGGUAGCUUAGAUAGCAUGGGUCUACUGGCCAGUCAGGUAGUGUUGACAGGGCGGAUCUGCUUUGCAGGCAGGUAGUGUAGACAGGGUGGACCUGCUGGACAAGCAGGUAGUUUAGACAGGGUGGAUCUGCUGGCCAGGCAGGCAGUGUAGAUAGCGUGGAUCUACUGUCCAGGCAGGUAGUAUAGACAGGGUGGACCUGCUGGCCAGGCAGGUAGUAUUGACAGGGUGGAUCUGCUGGGCAGGCAGGUAGUGUAGAUAGGGUGGAUCUACUGGCCAGGCAGAUAGUGUAGACAGGGGGGAUCUGCUGGACAGGCAUAUAUCAUGGAAGAAAAACAUCUAAGAGAAUAGCAGCAGUGUUUACAGUACUGAAAAUAAAUUGUUUCAUUUUCUUCCUUCGGUUCUUGGACCUGUAGGUCUAAGCACCAGUUUUUUUGGUGUUUUGGGUUCCUGGCGUCCGUGCUCCCAGCCUGAAAGCUGCCCAUGGUCACAUCCAGCACUUGCCUUCAGCCCUCUCCAUCCCAAUGCUGGUUUUCAGAGGCACCUUCUUGCUACCGAAGCGCCUCUCCCAGCCCUGAUCCUUGUGGUUGUGCAUACUUCCAGCCUGGGCAGUGCAUGGCUGCUCUGGAG
rnacentral:lncRNA from 1 species